UUGCCCUUAGUAACGGCGAAGUGAAGCGGCAACAGCUCAAAUUUGAAAUCUGGCUUCGGCCCGAGUUGUAAUUUGCAGAGGAAGCUUUAGGCGCGGCACCUUCUGAGUCCCCUGGAACGGGGCGCCAUAGAGGGUGAGAGCCCCGUAUAGUUGGAUGCCUAGCCUGUGUAAAGCUCCUUCGACGAGUCGAGUAGUUUGGGAAUGCUGCUCAAAAUGGGAGGUAAAUUUCUUCUAAAGCUAAAUACCGGCCAGAGACCGAUAGCGCACAAGUAGAGUGAUCGAAAGAUGAAAAGCACUUUGAAAAGAGGGUUAAAUAGCACGUGAAAUUGUUGAAAGGGAAGCGCUUGUGACCAGACUUGCGCCGGGCUGAUCAUCCGGUGUUCUCACCGGUGCACUCUGCCCGGCUCAGGCCAGCAUCGGUUCUCGCGGGGGGAUAAAGGCCCUGGGAACGUAGCUCCUCCGGGAGUGUUAUAGCCCGGGGCGCAAUGCCCUCGCGGGGACCGAGGUUCGCGCUCUGCAAGGAUGCUGGCGUAAUGGUCACCAGCGACCCGUCUUGAAACACGGACCAAGGAGUCAAGGUUUUGCGCGAGUGUUUGGGUGUAAAACCCGCACGCGUAAUGAAAGUGAACGUAGGUGAGAGCUUCGGCGCAUCAUCGACCGAUCCUGAUGUUCUCGGAUGGAUUUGAGUAGGAGCGUUAAGCCUUGGACCCGAAAGAUGGUGAACUAUGCUUGGAUAGGGUGAAGCCAGAGGAAACUCUGGUGGAGGCUCGCAGCGGUUCUGACGUGCAAAUCGAUCGUCAAAUCUGAGCAU
rnacentral:rRNA from 1 species